GAUGAAGAACGUAGCGAAACGCGAUAGGUAAUGUGAAUUGCAGAAUUCAGUGAAUCAUCGAAUCUUUGAACGCACAUUGCGCCCGUCAGUAUUCUGGCGGGCAUGCCUGUUCGAGCGUCAUUACGCCCCUCAAGUCCCCUGUGGACUUGGUGUUGGGGAUCGGCGAGGCUGGUUUUCCAGCACAGCCGUCCCUUAAAUUAAUUGGCGGUCUCGCCGUGGCCCUCCUCUGCGCAGUAGUAAAACACUCGCAACAGGAGCCCGGCGCGGUCCACUGCCGUAAAACCCCCCAACUUUUUAUAGUUGACCUCGAAUCAGGUAGGACUACCCGCUGAACUUAAGCAUAUCAAUAAGCGGAGGA
rnacentral:misc_RNA from 1 species